rnacentral:rRNA from 1 species
GUGCUACUUUGCCGGCGAGCGGCGGACGGGUGAGUAAUGUCUGGGAAACUGCCUGAUGGAGGGGGAUAACUACUGGAAACGGUAGCUAAUAGCGCAUAAUGUCCCAAGACCAAAGAGGGGGACCUUCGGGCCUCUUGCCAUCAGAUGUGCCCAGAUGGGAUUACCUACUAGGUGGGGUAACGGCUCACCUACGCGACGAUCCCUAGCUGGUCUGAGAGGAUGACCAGCCACACUGGAACUGAGACACGGUCCAUACUCCUACGGGAGGCAGCAGUGGGGAAUAUUGCACAAUGGGCGCC